rnacentral:rRNA from 1 species
UCUGAAUCCGGGUCGACCACGAUCCAACCCUAAAUACUAAUACCAGAUCGAUAGUGCACAAGUACCGUGAGGGAAAGGUGAAAAGAACUGAGGUGAUCAGAGUGAAAUAGAACCUGAAACCAUUUGCUUACAAUCAUUCAGAGCACUAUGUAGCAAUACAGUGUGAUGGACUGCCUUUUGCAUAAUGAGCCUGCGAGUUGUGGUGUCUGGCAAGGUUAAGCAAACGCGAAGCCGUAGCGAAAGCGAGUCUGAAUAGGGCGCUUAGUCAGAUGCUGCAGACCCGAAACGAAGUGAUCUAUCCAUGAGCAAGUUGAAGCUAGUGUAAGAACUAGUGGAGGACUGAACCCAUAGGCGUUGAAAAGCCCCGGGAUGACUUGUGGAUAGGGGUGAAAGGCCAAUCAAACUUCGUGAUAGCUGGUUCUCUCCGAAAUAUAUUUAGGUAUAGCGUUGUGUCGUAAUAUAAGGGGGUAGAGCACUGAAUGGGCUAGGGCAUACACCAAUGUACCAAACCCUAUCAAACUCCGAAUACCUUAUAUGUAAUCACAGCAGUCAGGCGGCGAGUGAUAAAAUCCGUCGUCAAGAGGGAAACAACCCAGACUACCAGCUAAGGUCCCUAAAUCUUACUUAAGUGGAAAACGAUGUGAAGUUACUUAAACAACCAGGAGGUUGGCUUAGAAGCAGCCAUCCUUUAAAGAAAGCGUAAUAGCUCACUGGUCUAGUGAUUUUGCGCGGAAAAUAUAACGGGGCUAAAGUAAGUACCGAAGCUGUAGACUUGCACACAACUUAGAUUAUUUAAGUUUAGAAUAUGAGAAACUAAGUUAUAUGUUUAGUUAUAUUUUUACUGAUUUUUAUAGAGUAAAGAUAGAAAUAAAACUUAGUAAAAUCAGUAAAAAUAUUCUUAGGCUAAAGUUAAGUAGUUUAAGUUGUGUGCAAGUGGUAGGAGAGCGUUCUAUUUGCGUCGAAGGUAUACCGGUAAGGAGUGCUGGAGCGAAUAGAAGUGAGCAUGCAGGCAUGAGUAGCGAUAAUUAAUGUGAGAAUCAUUAACGCCGUAAACCCAAGGUUUCCUACGCGAUGCUCGUCAUCGUAGGGUUAGUCGGGUCCUAAGUCGAGUCCGAAAGGGGUAGACGAUGGCAAAUUGGUUAAUAUUCCAAUACCAACAUUAGUGUGCGAUGGAAGGACGCUUAGGGCUAAGGGGGCUAGCGGAUGGAAGUGCUAGUCUAAGGUUGUAGGAGGUUAUACAGGCAAAUCCGUAUAACAAUACUCCGAGAACUGAAAGGCUUUUUGAAGUCUUCGGAUGGAUAGAAGAACCCCUGAUGCCGUCGAGCCAAGAAAAGUUUCUAAGUUUAGCUAAUGUUGCCCGUACCGUAAACCGACACAGGUGGGUGGGAUGAGUAUUCUAAGGCGCGUGGAAGAACUCUCUUUAAGGAACUCUGCAAAAUAGCACCGUAUCUUCGGUAUAAGGUGUGGUUAGCUUCGUACUAGGAUUUACUCCGAAAGCGAAGAAACUUACAACAAAGAGUCCCUCCCGACUGUUUACCAAAAACACAGCACUCUGCUAACUCGUAAGAGGAUGUAUAGGGUGUGACGCCUGCCCGGUGCUCGAAGGUUAAUUGAUGGGGUUAGCAUUAGCGAAGCUCUUGAUCGAAGCCCGAGUAAACGGCGGCCGUAACUAUAACGGUCCUAAGGUAGCGAAAUUCCUUGUCGGUUAAAUACCGACCUGCAUGAAUGGCGUAACGAGAUGGGAGCUGUCUCAAAGAGGGAUCCAGUGAAAUUGUAGUGGAGGUGAAAAUUCCUCCUACCCGCGGCAAGACGGAAAGACCCCGUGGACCUUUACUACAGCUUGACACUGCUACUUGGAUAAGAAUGUGCAGGAUAGGUGGGAGGCUUUGAGUAUAUGACGCCAGUUGUAUAUGAGCCAUUGUUGAGAUACCACUCUUUCUUAUUUGGGUAGCUAACCAGCUUGAGUUAUCCUCAAGUGGGACAAUGUCUGGUGGGUAGUUUGACUGGGGCGGUCGCCUCCCAAAUAAUAACGGAGGCUUACAAAGGUUGGCUCAGAACGGUUGGAAAUCGUUCGUAGAGUAUAAAGGUAUAAGCCAGCUUAACUGCAAGACAUACAAGUCAAGCAGAGACGAAAGUCGGUCUUAGUGAUCCGGUGGUUCUGUGUGGAAGGGCCAUCGCUCAAAGGAUAAAAGGUACCCCGGGGAUAACAGGCUGAUCUCCCCCAAGAGCUCACAUCGACGGGGAGGUUUGGCACCUCGAUGUCGGCUCAUCGCAUCCUGGGGCUGGAGCAGGUCCCAAGGGUAUGGCUGUUCGCCAUUUAAAGCGGUACGCGAGCUGGGUUCAGAACGUCGUGAGACAGUUCGGUCCCUAUCUGCCGUGGGCGUAAGAAGAUUGAAGAGAUUUGACCCUAGUACGAGAGGACCGGGUUGAACAAACCACUGGUGUAGCUGUUGUUCUGCCAAGAGCAUCGCAGCGUAGCUAAGUUUGGAAAGGAUAAACGCUGAAAGCAUCUAAGCGUGAAGCCAACUCUAAGAUGAAUCUUCUCUAAGCUCUCUAGAAGACUACUAGUUUGAUAGGCUGGGUGUGUAAUGGAUGAAAGUCCUUUAGCUGACCAGUACUAAUAGAGCGUUUGGCUUAUCUUUAAUAAAGCAU